rnacentral:piRNA from 1 species
UACAGAUAACUGUGUAUUAGUUCUGUUGC